rnacentral:SRP_RNA from 2 species
GCCGGGUGUGGUGGCUCACGCCUGUAAUCCCAACACUUUGGGAGGCUGAGGCAGGUGGAUUGCCUGAGGUCAGGAGUUUGCAACCAGCCUGACCAACAUGGUGAAACCCUGUCUCUA